CCUACUUUCGUACUUUCGUGCCUAACCUACGUACACACGCACUUUACCGUAUGUCUGGUAUUAUGUGUUUAUUUUGUAUACAUAUUCGCAUCGACGAUUCUCUAUCUGGAGAAUGGAUUUACAGGAACUAAAAAUUUCACGUUCAAGAAUUAUUAACCCUGAUUAAAACAAAAACCUAAGAAAUCGUUUCACGGUCUAGAGGUUAUACGUCGAGGAAGGAAUUACCAGUAAAGACCCGAAGGAAAGGAAUGAAAGAUAUAUCAGAAUAGGAUUCAUAUUUACAAUAAAAUUAUCACGAAAUGAAAGUAAAGAAAAGACACUAAACCUAUGUCAAGAUAGGAAGAAUCGUACACAGGUAUAAUGAUAUUGUGAAACGACACAGUUAGACCAAAUGCAACUACAAAGCGUGCAAGUGUAUCACCAUGUGCAUUAUGACAAUGCUUUCCUAUCGAUGUUUACUCGACGAUAACAUUGCUGGGUCUUACAAAUGCGAUUCUACACCAUGGCGUACGUGACCGAUAUGUCGAAGGCGUGCCGUCUGGGACCACAGAAGCUGCAACGGCAUAUACUAAGAAGACGUACACUGAGAACCACAGUUCCGGAAUUUAUCAGCGAAGUUCUAGUUUGCGGUCAAGCAAUCUCCAUACCAGACCACCGUUUCUGUAUCACGAUAGAGGAACACUUCUAUGGAUUCAGCUAAUCGAGUUGGCAACUAUUGUGUAAGCACACACGUACACAUAAUCAUGUUACCGGCAGGCAGUCGAACCCGUUGUCGUCGUCCAAAACGACUAUAUGACUAGUAGAAUGCUAUAGUACUUUUAUUACACGUACGAUGUAUGCUACGUAUGAUGUAAGUAUGAUGUAUACGAGAUUCAUGUAAGUAUAAUGUGAUAAACACCGUGCAACAAAUAUUUGCCUCGAACCUAUAAUUUUAAAACAACACGAUACAAAAAUUUUUUUAUCGUAAUAUUAUUUUCAGGUAUUUUAAAAUUGAAUCAUGCACUAAUGGGAAAAACGCUUGAUUAGAGACCUAAAUUACAUCACUAUAAUAAUCACUAUACCGAUAUUCAUUCGUCAUGAUGAAUCACGGUGAAUCAAGAUUUGGACUCACUAAUUUUCUCUUUGAUUAAUCACCGGUAGCUACCGGUCGCAGAAAUAUGGACUAAGAAACGAGCAUGAAAUAUCUCGGUAUACAUACUUCGUCAUAAGUAUUGACUAAUGAAAUAUGUAUCAAAAAAUUCUAAAUGAUUACUUGUUCGCGAAUACGUGUCUGACGCCUUAAAUUUACGUA
rnacentral:lncRNA from 1 species